AACGAACGCUGGCGGCAUGCCUAACACAUGCAAGUCGAACGAGACCUUCGGGUCUAGUGGCGCACGGGUGCGUAACACGUGGGAAUCUGCCCUUCGGUUCGGAAUAACUCAGGGAAACUUGAGCUAAUACCGGAUGACGACGUAAGUCCAAAGAUUUAUCGCCGAAGGAUGAGCCCGCGUAGGAUUAGGUAGUUGGUGGGGUAAUGGCCUACCAAGCCGACGAUCCUUAGCUGGUCUGAGAGGAUGAUCAGCCACACUGGGACUGAGACACGGCCCAGACUCCUACGGGAGGCAGCAGUGGGGAAUAUUGGACAAUGGGCGAAAGCCUGAUCCAGCAAUGCCGCGUGAGUGAUGAAGGCCUUAGGGUUGUAAAGCCCUUUUACCAGGGAUGAUAAUGACAGUACCUGGAGAAUAAGCUCCGGCUAACUCCGUGCCAGCAGCCGCCGUAAGAC
rnacentral:rRNA from 1 species